rnacentral:rRNA from 1 species
GUGAGGAAUAUUGGUCAAUGGGCGAGAGCCUGAACCAGCCAAGUCGCGUGAAGGAAGAAGGAUCUAUGGUUCGUAAACUUCUUUUGCAGGGGAAUAAAGUGCGGGACGUGUCCUGUUUUGUAUGUACCCUGAGAAUAAGGAUCGGCUAACUCCGUGCCAGCAGCCGCGGUAAUACGGAGGAUCCGAGCGUUAUCCGGAUUUAUUGGGUUUAAAGGGUGCGUAGGUGGUUUGAUAAGUCAGCGGUGAAAGUUUGCAGCUUAACUGUAAAAAUGCCGUUGAAACUGUCGGACUUGAGUGUAAAUGAGGUAGGCGGAAUGCGUUGUGUAGCGGUGAAAUGCAUAGAUAUCACGCAGAACUCCGAUUGCGAAGGCAGCUUACUAAGCUACAACUGACACUGAAGCACGAAAGCGUGGGGAUCAAACAGGAUUAGAAACCCGUGUAGUCC